rnacentral:rRNA from 1 species
UGGGGAAUUUUGGACAAUGGGCGAAAGCCUGAUCCAGCAAUGCCGCGUGAGUGAAGAAGGCCUUCGGGUUGUAAAGCUCUUUUGUCAGGGAAGAAACGGUGAGAGCUAAUAUCUCUUGCUAAUGACGGUACCUGAAGAAUAAGCACCGGCUAACUACGUGCCAGCAGCCGCGGUAAUACGUAGGGUGCAAGCGUUAAUCGGAAUUACUGGGCGUAAAGCGUGCGCAGGCGGUUUUGUAAGUCUGAUGUGAAAUCCCCGGGCUCAACCUGGGAAUUGCAUUGGAGACUGCAAGGCUAGAAUCUGGCAGAGGGGGGUAGAAUUCCACGUGUAGCAGUGAAAUGCGUAGAUAUGUGGAGGAACACCGAUGGCGAAGGCAGCCCCCUGGGUCAAGAUUGACGCUCAUGCACGAAAGCGUGGGGAGCAAACAGGAUUAGAUACCCCCGUAGUCCCUGAGCGGGCUGGCAAGGCGCAU